UAAGUUCAGUUAAUUUU
rnacentral:sRNA from 1 species